rnacentral:misc_RNA from 1 species
GAAAUGCGAUAAGUAAUGUGAAUUGCAGAAUUCAGUGAAUCAUCGAAUCUUUGAACGCACCUUGCGCUCCUUGGUAUUCUGAGGAGCAUGCCUGUUUGAGUGUCAUGGAAUCAUCAACCGUUCGUCCUUUGUUGGAUGCAGCGGCUUGGACUUGGAGGCUUAUGCUGGUUUCUUAACGGGAUCGGCUCCUCUUGAAUGCAUUAGCUUGAACCUAUGCUGUAUCGGCUGUUCGGUGUGAUAAUUGUCUACGCCGUGGCUGUGAGGCCCGUUGAAAGACGGUGGUAGGAUCAGCUUCUAACCGUCCCUGCGAACGGGACAACAUCUUAAUUGACCUCUGACCUCAAAUCAGGUAGGAUUACCCGCUGAACUUAA